rnacentral:rRNA from 1 species
GAUGAACGCUGGCGGCGUGCCUAAUACAUGCAAGUCGAGCGAACGGACGAGAAGCUUGCUUCUCUGAUGUUAGCGGCGGACGGGUGAGUAACACGUGGAUAACCUACCUAUAAGACUGGGAUAACUUCGGGAAACCGGAGCUAAUACCGGAUAAUAUUUUGAACCGCAUGGUUCAAAAGUGAAAGACGGUCUUGCUGUCACUUAUAGAUGGAUCCGCGCUGCAUUAGCUAGUUGGUAAGGUAACGGCUUACCAAGGCAACGAUGCAUAGCCGACCUGAGAGGGUGAUCGGCCACACUGGAACUGAGACACGGUCCAGACUCCUACGGGAGGCAGCAGUAGGGAAUCUUCCGCAAUGGGCGAAAGCCUGGCGGAGCAACGCCGCGUGAGUGAUGAAGGUCUUCGGAUCGUAAAACUCUGUUAUUAGGGAAGAACAUAUGUGUAAGUAACUGUGCACAUCUUGACGGUACCUAAUCAGAAAGCCACGGCUAACUACGCG